AAUUUACAAUAAAUAACAUUCUACGAGGAAAAGAAUUAUUCCCAAUACACAGAUCUUUAGUUGUAUUCGUCGGUUAGUAAUAAUUUUCCUUUUAAAUGAGUGUUUACAUGCCCACGAAUAAACAAAGUUAAAUUUAAAAGAGCUAGGAUUUUUUUCUCGCUACCGUGAUUUAUUACACCUACAGAACCGCCCCAUUUAAAAGAACGUAGUUAGGAGUUUUAACACCUUGUUACUAUUUCGGGUAAAUAGUAACAAAAUAUUGCAUAAAAACAUUUAAAAAUGUAUGCAAUGUUUAUAAAAUCAAACUUCCCUUUUGUAGCGUUUAUUUUGGAUAAUGACUAAUUUGUUGUUUAGAUCUAAAUGUCGUAUGACCCUUCGAUGUGAUAACAAUAAGCUUUAUAUGUGAUACUUAUAUACUUGUAAUAUAUUCGUGUAACGUUGUUAUUAACAAUAUGUGUAUGUAUUUGUUAUUUAUAUUGACCUCCAUUUUGUAAAUGUUGCAACCUUGUAACAUAUAUAGUGGAAUCUAUAUAUUUUUAUCAUUUGCGAUAGUAUUCUUUACAUAAGUAUUAUUUCAUGAUUGUAUUAAGAUUUUUGUUGUUAAUUAAUUUUAAUUGCAAAAGUUUUUUAAACACGUAAUAUUUUAUUUUGUUGAACAAGUGGCCUUGUUUAUACGGUGAUUGAAAAAAAAUAUAUUAAAUUCUAUUAAGACUA